rnacentral:rRNA from 1 species
UACGUAGGGUGCAAGCGUUGUCCGGAAUUAUUGGGCGUAAAGAGCUCGUAGGCGGUGUGUCGCGUCUGCUGUGAAAACUCAGGGCUCAACUCUGAGCUUGCAGUGGGUACGGGCACACUUGAGUGCUGUAGGGGAGACUGGAAUUCCUGGUGUAGCGGUGAAAUGCGCAGAUAUCAGGAGGAACACCGGUGGCGAAGGCGGGUCUCUGGGCAGUUGACUGACGCUGAGGAGCGAAAGCAUGGGAGCGAACAGG